GUCGAGGCUCAUCGCCAUGUCCACGACCGUGUUGCUGCUCUCCGGCAGCUUCAUCCCCUUCAAUAGCAAGAACCCGUCGCUCGAGCAGUCCAGUUCGGUCCUCCUCACGCACCCGGCCGACCCGUCUCUCAAGUUCCAUGCCUGCAGGUUCUUGGGGCUGAACCCCCGGGUGCAGUUGCAGAUCGGGGAGGCGUUGGUGUCGCAGAACCCGUAAGGGCCGCACUCGCUGAAGUGGUCGCACUGGUCUUUCGGGGCUUCCCAGAACAUGCUCCAGGACUUGCUGUCCUCGACCCAAGUGUACCUCUGGAGGGUCCCUGUCGAGUUCACGGUCAGCCUCGAGAUUAUGUUCGGGGUGUUCACCUCGAAGGAGUAGUACACUUGCUGUUGAUCGGAGACAAAGGUGAAGUCCAUGGUGCUGGAGGACUGCAUCUCCGGGACCCCGCUGAACCGAAUCCCGUUCCACGGGCCGCUCCGGUAUAGCUUUGUGCUCUUGUCCCAGAGAAAAACUUCUGGGUAUCCGUGGUAAUCGAUUUUGAAAGAGAAAUCCCCUGAGGACGGGUCUUGCGGGGUCUUCCAAGAAUUCAAGAACCUGUCGAGGCCCUGGGUCAAGUCCCACCCUAGCUUCAUCUCGGGCAGGAGGGUGUCCGUCGGAAAAUCGAAACUCUGCCAUAGGUAGUCGCUGCUGCUCUCGUCACCCGCUUCUCUGACGACGAGAUUGCCAUUGUCCAGGAGCUGCGCGACAGGGUUCACCGGGCUCGAAUUGGCCCUGGUUUGGUUCGACGACCAGAGGAUGUUCUUGUUCGCCUGAUCAAGAAUGACCACGUUGUUGCCCUUGUCCCCAAUCUUGAACACGACAGUGGACGAGUUGGCGACGGGGCCGUCCCUGUUGGCCACCCAGACGUACGUCCUGUCCGGGAUGUUCUUGUACCAGAUGCCCACGUAGUAGUUGGCGUUGUCCGGCGUGAAGAACCCGAGCUGGAAGACGUCAUUGGCGGAGGCGAGGGUCUGGUCGCUGGCGAUCGAUUCGUUCGCGGCGAUGGUGUCCAAGGAGGUGGCGCUGGCGGCGAAGAAGGUGAUGAUGGCUAGGAAAGUGAAGCAGGAAUGGAGAGCCGCGGCUCCACUCAUUCUCCACUAACGGGUGCUUUGGCGAAUUUGAUGACCUCUCUCUCUCUCUGUGGAGCAUCUGCGGUGUUCUGUUCUUGCCUUCAUGUUCAAGACAUCUGGUGUGGUUUGAUAGGGAGAGAAGGGAAAUGACAGAUGCGUUUGACCCCAACUCCCGUCUUUUUUGUUCGUUCCCUUGAAUUUAAUAAGCCAAAAAAGCCUUUAUAAAAGCAGCACAACGUCUACGGAUUUUUUAAAAAAGAAAUGUGUUUCCAAGGUUUGAAUCGUGUAAAACCUUGGGCCUUGGUUGGGCUUUUCCAAGGUUGUUUUCCUAGGUCAAAUUAGGAAGGUCACCUAACUCCUCUCGGCACACAUAAUUCUCGCGGCCUUUUUUUCUUCUUCUUACGAAAUUACGAAAAGAUCCAAGUGAGAAAACUACUCUCGCCCUCGCCCGCCUAAAAAGAAGAAAAAGAAAGAGAAAAAUGCGUUUUUUGCAUGCUUUUACUUCCGUUCAUUACUUCGCAAAUUGCGGUCUACUAUUUUAAACUUGAAUCGGUACAGCUUGAUGGAAAUUGGGAGUUGCCAUCUUACGUGAACAACCGAUGGAUUGAUUUAAAGUUGCCCUAACUCCUCUCGGCACAUAAUUCCCGUGGCCUUUUUUCUUCCUCUUACGAAAUUAUGAAAAGAUUCAAGUGAGAAAACUACUCUCACCCUCACCCACUUAAAAAGAAGAAAAAGAAAGAGAAAAAUGCGCUUUCUACAUGCUUUUACUUCCGUUCAUUACUUCACAAUUGCGGUCUACUAUUUUAAACUUGAAUUGGUACAGCUUGAUGGAAAUCGGGAGUUACCAUCUUACGUGAACAAUUGAUUUAAAGUUGCCCCUAACUCCUCUCGGCACACAUAAUUCUCGCAGCCUUUUUUACUUACUCUUACGAAAUUAUGAAAAGAUUCAAGUAAGAAAGCUACUCUCACCCUCGCCCGCCUAAAAAGAAAAAAAGAAAGAGAAAAAUGCGCUUUCUACAUGCUUUUAUUUCCGUUCAUUACUUCGCAAAUUGCGGUCUACUAUUUUAAACUUGAAUCAGUACAGCUUGAUGGAAAUCGGGAGUUACCAUCUUACGUGAACAACCAAUGGAUUGAUUUAAAGUUGCCCCACGCCAAGCGGAGCCAAAUGUCGAAAGUACAAGGACAGAGAGGUAUAGCGGAUGGCCCUCUCAUGUUUGUCUCCUACUUUGUCUCUCUAUGCAGAAGAUUCAAUAUAUAUAUAUAUUUCUAAGUGUGUCAUUUUUGUUUGCUUGCGACUGUGGCCGCUCUUUCACUUAGAAUUAUAUUCUCACUUGACACGGAAACGAUUCCUUGGGCAUCGCAUUUCUUCCGUGAUUCUUGCUUACGCAAUCCGACAAUGGCGACAUCGGCAAAGUAGGUUGCUGACUAAGUCACAAGGACUGUAAUUACUUAGACUGUCGCUCUGCAUGUAACUUUCGUAACAACUAGGGUUUUGUAUUUAUGAAACCAGCACGAGCUUUCUCUAGCUUAGGUAUCGCACUAUGUAUCAUUUGAUAACCAAAAAAUCCCCUACCUUUUUUGUUUCUUUUUGGAGUCAAAUCGAAUUUCCAAUGGAGGAAUUUCAAGGAAAUUUAGAAUUAGAUAGAUCUAGACAACAUGAAUUCCUAUACCCACUUUUUUUUUAGAGUAUAUUUAUGCACUUGCUCAUGAUCAUAGUUUAAAUAAAUCGAUUUUGUUCGAAAAUGCAGGUUAUGACAAUAAAUCUAGUUCAAUAAUUGUGAAACGUUUAAUUACUUGAAUGUAUCAAUAGAAUCCUUUGAUUUUUUCGGCUAAUGAUUCUAUCCAAAAUCAAUUUCUUGGGCAAAACAAGAAUUUUUAUUCUCAAAUUAUCUCCAAGGGAUUUGCAGUCAUUGUAGAAAUUCCAUUUUCCUUAAGAUUAGUAUCUUCCUUAGAAAGGAAAGAAAUAGCAAAAUCUCAUAAAUUACGAGCAAUUCAUUCCAUAAUUCCUUUUUUGGAGGACAAAUUUUCACAUUCAGAUUAUGUGUCAAACGUACUAAUACCCUAUCACAUCCAUCUAGAAAUCUUGGUUCAAACCCUUCGCUACUGGGUGAACAAUGCAUCUUCUUUGCAUUUAUUACGUUUCUUUCUCCACAGAUAUUGGAAUAGUCUCAUUACUCAAAAGAAACAUGUUACCGUUUUUUCAAAAGGUAAUCCAAGAUUAUUCUUGUUCCUAUAUAAUUCUCAUAUAUGUGAAUAUGAAUACUUCUUUCUUUUUCUCCGUAAUCAAUCUUCUCAUUUACGGUGAACAUCUUUUGGAAUCUUUUUUGAGCGAAUAUAUUUCUAUGUAAAAAUAGAACAUUUUGUCAAAGUCUUCUUUGAUAAUGAUUUUCAGUGCAUCCUAUGGUUCUUCAAAGAUCCUUUCAUGCAUUAUGUUCGAUAUCAACGAAAAUCAAUUAUGGCUUCAAAAGAUACGCCUCUUCUGAUGAAGAAAUGGAAAUAUUUCCUCUUUAAUUUAUGGCAAUAUCAUUUUUAUGCAUGGUUUCAGCCAGGAAGGAUUGAUAUAAACCAAUUAUGCAAAUAUUCUCUAGACUUUUUGGGCUAUCGUUCAAGCAUGCGACUAAAUUCUUUAGUGGUACAAAGUCAAAUGCUAGAAAAUUCAUUUCUAAUAAAUAACGCUAUGAAGAAGUUCGAGACAAUAGUUCCAAUUAUUCCUCUGAUUGGAUCAUUGUCUAAAGCGAAUUUUUGUGACACAUUAGGGCAUCCCAUUAGUAAACUGACUCGGGCUGAUUCAUCAGAUUCUGAUAUUAUUGACCCUUUUUUGCGUAUAUCCAGAAAUCUUUCUAAUUAUCACAGCGGAUUCUAAAAAGAAAAAGAGUUUAUAUCGAGUAAAAUAUAUACUUCGACUUUCUUGUGUUAAAACUUUGGCUCGUAAACACAAAAAGACUGUACGCACUUUUUUAAAAAGAUUAGGUUCGGAAUUUUUGGAAGAAUUCCUUACGGAGGAAGAAAUUGUUCUUUCUUUGAUCUUCCCAAGAACUUAUUCUACUUCACAAAGGUUAUAUAGAGGGUGGAUUUGGUAUAUGGAUAUUACUUCUAUCAAUGAUCUAGUCAAUUAUGAAUGAUUGUCUAUGAUAUCAUGGAAAUGUAAAUUAUCCCUAAAUAAUGAAGAGAUAACAAAAAAAAUUCAUUCAUUUUUUAUGAAAUAUUUAUGUAGUAAGAGUUAAGUUAGGGUUGAUCGAUUGAGUAUUCCAUUUUUCUUAGAGUCCUUUCUAGGGAAGACAUUGAGUUUUCGAUGUAUACAUAGGGAAAGCCAUGUGCAAUGAAAAAUGCAAGCAUGGUUUUGGGAGGGAUUUUUGUUACGUAUUUUAACAAAGAAAUUAUCUAUUCCAUCCAACUAAUUCUGGGUUCGAGUCCCGGACAACCCGUUUUAUAUAGAAUAUCAAAAUUCUAUAUAUCCACAUUAUAUUUUUGUAACUCACUUCAUCGAUAUUCAUUCAGAUUAAAAAAAUUCGGAUAACAACAUCAAUGUCCAUCGCUCUUGGGUCGGUCGUUGUGCUGACGGAGUCAAUGGGGAAUAAGCAAAGUGUCUGGGCCCAUUUCGUGUUGUUCGUGGCUCACGAGUCAUUUUAUUUCUUCAAUAGAAAAUUAUGAACAAGACCUAACAAUCACAAGAACGAAUCACAAGCACGACUUUCGUUUUUUCUUAUGAUUAUAGAAGAACGUUGAACGAAAAUGUCAUGGAUGGACACCACCAGCGAAAUCUUCAAGAAUAGAAAAGUACCCACUAUUUUAGACUAUACUUAUAUCAAGUCAUUCGUUAAAUAAUAUAGUUCAUCCAUAUAAAAAUAACAUAUAGUUGAACUGUCUAACGUCAUCAUUGUAACAUUCCAAAUUUGACGUUGGAUGGGAGAGUAACUGUUAAGUUACACACAAGCAAAUAGACGCUCCCAAACAACUUGCGUGGUUUGUCAACGUACUCCUGGUCUUUACAAUCACUUUAGCAUGCCAUUUGAUUUUUAUGCAAUAUAUGCAUUAUUGCCUUGUCCGUAGAGUUGGAAUGGUAGGAAGAAAGGCAGAUCGAUUUAGAACUGGGCCCCCACUAUAUUCUAAUUUUGUGUGCCUACUCAACAACCAUCGGCCUUUUUCUUUUUUGUGGUUGCCUUCGAUGUGGUUUCUUCAAUGCUUCGUUUUAAAUAAUAUUCUUUCUUAGUCAAUCAACUGAUCUGAUUGUGCCCUUCAUUUAAUAUAAAUGUAUAUAUGUAUGUUAUAAUAAAGCAUCCAUCAAGUUUGAAUUCCUACUGUAUGUGCCAAACCUUGGUGAUAUCAUUCGAACCAUGAACCGACAGACAUGUUUGAAAGUUGCUGCAAAUGUCAUCCUUUUUUGGCUUUAUCUGCCGGAACAAAUUGACGGUAAUUCCAUAUCGAGAGCCCAUCAAGAACGGGCAAAGAGAAAGAAAAGAUGUUAAAGAAAAUUAAAGCAAGUUAGGAGCAUCUCUUGCUUUUGACGCUUGUAGUUUGAAAAUGUCAAGAAAGUGUUUUUAUUUCCUUCCCCUUUCUUCUUCCUUUGGACAGCAGCUAGGCAGGCUGGCUCGCCUGUCACAGGUGUGGCUCAGUGAGGGUUGGCCUCGCCCUGACCAAGGUAGCUUUGCUGGUGCCACUUUUGCCAAGACGAUGCCCUAGCCUAGUUGAGGGCUGCCACUGCCAAAUUUGGCAAGGGAAGCCCUUGCUGGAGCUUACCCUUACCUGACCAUGCCUCACUUGUUGCAGGUGAGAUUAGCUAGCCAUCGGCAAGAGGAAGAAUAAUCUUUUUAAUGACUUUUUUUUUCUUUUUUUACAAUUUUUUUCUCCGUGUAUGUGCUAGACCUUGACGAUAUCAUUCCAACCAUAAAUUGACAAUCAUGUUUGGAAGUUGUUCAUAACGUUAUGCUUCUUUAUCUUUAUCUGCCGGACCAAAUUGACGGCAAUUACGUGUCUAGAGACCAUCAAGAACGGGGGAGGAGAAAGAAAAAGACGUUAAAGAAUGCAUGAAGAGUCGCCUCUCUUGACCUCUUCAAACUACAAGCGUUAAAGAAAAGAGAUGCUCCUAUCUUGGUUUUAUUUUUUUAAGGGCCACCAUCCAAUUUUUUUUCGGCCUUAUUAUUAUUAUUUUUUUGUGACCAAAGAACCGUUGGAGAUCACCCUUUGGGGAUCACAAGACCCUCCAGUACCCGGUGGCACCCUCGGGUCUCGCCGCAAGCCGCUAUUUAGACAUAAACUUCAGGGGAGGCUAGCCUAGAAUCCCAACACUAUGACCCCUGCUUAAGACACUUUAGUUUUUUCGGCCUUAUUUUCACCCUUUUGGUCAAUAAGCUUAUUUUUUCAGUUAAUUGACCGGAAUACCUCCCCCUCUCCCUUUCUCUUCAAAUUGUUAGAAACAUUGAAACGGGGAAUUUCUUUUCGUUCUACUUCUACCAUAUAAAAAAUAAAUCAAUAUCAAUAAUAUAUUUUAUCUCAUAGCAAAUUGAUCAAAACUUUAAAAUAUGCUCAAAAAUUUCCUUUAUAUAGUUUGAUAUGAAUUUGAAAGUGAAGGUAUAACUAGAUUUGCCACCCUCGAUUUAAAAUGUGAAAAGCUAAAAAAAAAAAAAUACAAAAUAAUUGAUGCUUAACUUUAGAAACCUACAAAAUUAUUCUGAAAAAACACCCACAAAGUCACAAUCGACAAGAUAAUUGUAUUGAAAUUUCAUUUUCAACUUUGAAAUAUAUAUUUGCUUAAAAUACUUGAAUAAAAAAUAGGCCAUUAAUUGUUUAAUCAUAAACUGUCAUAAAUAAAAAAUUUCAAUCUUCUAUAUGGCUUUUGUGAUAUAAACAUGAGAUCAUAAAUUAUAGCUAAGAACCAUCUCUAGGCAAAAUGAUAAGUGGACUUAGGAUAAGAUUAUAUCUUGUUUGGUGUAAUAGGGAAUUUGUAUUAUGAAACUGAUGAGAGAGAUGAUAUAUAUUAAGUGAGUUUUGUUGAUUAGCCUGAUAAAAAAAAAGAAACAAUACAUCAUUAGCGAGAGAGAGAGAGAGAUGGCGCUCUAGGCUAUUGUAUUUUAUUAAGUUAUGUGUAUUAUUGGAGUUGUGAGACCAAAAAUGAACUUACCUAGGUUUGGAUAGGUAAAGUGGCAAACACGUGAAAAAAUAUCUCGAGAAAUUAUGGAAGUUGUUGCCCCAAUUGAGAUUUGGUCAUCAACACGUAAUCUUGUGAAAUAUUUGAUCUCCAGACUAAUAUUCGGUCACGACCUCAGCACAAAUUGUUUAUUACCAGUCCAAAUAUCGGUGGAUGAUGGUACCUGAGCGUCGGAGAUGAACAUGGGUCGCUGGCUAAGGCGCUUGACCUCUUGGUCGACUGUUUAUCAACAGGACUUGUCGCAAAAUAGCAUAUUUCUUCUUAAGGUUUGAUCAUGGUGUUGAUUGAAUCAUCAUGUGGCGCUACCAAAGCCCUUGACUACUCAGUCAUUUUUUUUUUUUUUGGGGUCAGAAAGAAUUUUUUAAUAUAAACUCAAAGAGUUUAGCUUUGACACCCUAAGAAUCAACAUUGAUGGGUCCUUCUCGUUGGGAUCGACGGUUGGAGCCAUAAGCUGUGUUUGCAGAAAUAAAUAUGGAGAAUUGGUGCAUGGAUUUGCAAGAUUGGUAAGCGUGAACUCAGCCUAGCAAGCUGAAACCUUGGCCACGGUUGAAGGCCUAAAACUUCUCCACACCCGAACGGAACAAAGCUUUCUGCUACAGUCAAACAGUGAAUACUAUUAAAGACACUCAAAGGAGAAGUACAAGUCACGUUGGGUUCUAGAACCACUUAUCACCGAGGCUAGGAGUUUAUUUUGGGCUUCUCUAAUUUAAGUUUGGCCCAUUGCAGUAGAGAAUCAAAUUUAGUGCGGACCGGUUGGCAAAAACUCAUACGAAUGGUCAUUAUCUUUCAAUUGGUUGUCCAACCCCCUUGAAGCCUUGUGGGCUUUACUCUAUUUUGAUUCAAGUCUCCUGUACUCAGUCAUGGUUAAUAAAUAAGAUUUGUUGCGAAAUAGUAUCCUUUUUCUAAAGGCCGAUGGAAUAUGGUGGGACAAGUUGUCAAUUGAAUCUUUAAGUGAGUGACCGAUUUGGGAUCAUGAUGUCGAUUGAGUCUUCACAUGGUAGCAAGAUUUAUUGCAAAAUAGCAUCAUUUUCUAAAGGCUGAUGGAACAUUGUGGGGCAAGUAGUCGAUUGAGUCUUCAUAUGGUAGCAAGAUUUAUUGCAAACUAGCAUCCUUUUCUAAAGGCUUAUGGAACAUUGUGGGGCAAGUGGUCGAUUGAGUCUUCACGUGAGUGACCAAUUUGUGAUCACAAUGUCGAUUGAGUCUUCAUAUGGCACUACCAAGACGAUGGACCACUCAGUCAUGGUUAACAAACAAUAUUUAUUGCAAGGUGGCAUCCCUUCCUGAAGGCUCAUAGAACAUUGUGGGGCAAGUGGUCGAUUGAGUCUUCACGUAAGUGAUCAAUUUGUCGUUCCGGUCUCGACUGAGUCUUCACGUGGCGCUGACUGAGGUGCUUGGGUCUUCACAAGCGUGGGUUGCUUGAGGUCCACCGGUAUCCCAGACGCUCUUGUUUGGCUCCUCCUUUUUUGCCAGAGAGCAAUUUCCAUCUCGAAUUGACCGUUCUCAUGCUUCUUUUGGGCUAUUCUCCUAGUUAUCUUUGUCUAUAAUUCUCGUUCCUUUCUAGAAGAUCUCCAAUUUUCGCUUAUAUUCUAGUAAACUAACAAUGAUAUAGUAGAAAUUAUUGUGCUGAGUUAAGUGACGCAAACCUCGUUAGAAAACAACUCAAGUUUGUCUGCAAUUUCCAGGUGUCGUGAUUGAUUUUGUUCACCGUAACACCAUGAGCGAGUUUGCAAGUAUUUCUUGAAGAAACUCAUCAGUUGAGAUGAAGCGUUUCUUUUCAUUGAUAUGUUAUUUAAUAUAUAUAGAGAUAUCACCACCUAUAAUUAUGGCGAAAGUUAAAGAUAAAAGAUAACAAUUUUAUGUACAUUGAAAUUGAAUAUAAAAGACAAAUAAAAAAAUAUUUCUAAAUGAUCAACUCAUUGAUACUCUACUUGAUUUAUUAUCUUCACAUUAAUUUGUAGAAGAUUCACCGUAAACAUUUUGAUUUUACCCUUUUGAUUUGUCACUGCAAUGCUCCCCUUCAAACCGGUCAAUAGGGAGAGGACUAGAGACCAAUUUGAUUUUAAUUACAUGGAAAUUGAAUAAAAGACAAAUCAGAAAAAAUCUCCAAAUUAUCAACUUAUUGAUACUUUACUUGAUUUGUUAUCGUUAUAUUGAUUUGUAGAAGAUUUCGCACUGCAAACAUUAUGAUUUUUUCCCUUUUGAUUUGUUACUUCAGUAUUUCUUUCUUGGCGGGAACUUAUCAAUGGUCGUCCUUGGUCGAAUGUGGUUAUGUCCUUGUGUUAAUGAUGAGUUGGGUAAUAUGGAAAAUAUCCUAAUCUGGAUACUUUAUCUGCUUUACUUCAGAUGCCUUUAGAGAGAGAGAGAGAGUAGCGUGGAAGAUUAUCUUUUGAUGGUUAAUAUGUUUGUCAAGAAUCAGCCAGCCCCUUCACCUAUUAGCCUAUUGAGCCUCGUUUGCUUCUGGCUGACAUUUCUCCAACGAAGAUCCAAAGAAAACCAAGAAAGCCUCAAGUUUGGGUACCAUGGAGCAGGAUAUGUAGUUCUAAUCAUGUAAUUAGCAAUAUGUAUUAGCGCUUGCACUAAGGUUCAAGAAUGUCUAUGCAAACCGUCUCGUGUCAUCUGCCUUCGAUAGUGGUUAGUGUGACAUUGUUGCUAGGAAACGAAGAAUGAGGUUAAAAAGUUUGUGCUAUUAAUCAUCAUCUCUUAAAAAACGAUGUACAGAUUGUUUAAGAAAUUGGUUCUGCAUGAUGAGGGUGAAGAUAAUGAAGAUGUUCAUCGAGGAUGAAGAUACUGAAGUGGUUUGCGAUGAAGUUUCCACGGACACAUGAGAUUUGAUGGGUUGAUGCACCAUUUGACGAAGAACGUUUUAUGCCUGACGCAAUCAUUAUCCAUUUUAAGAGAGUGGAUGCUUUUGGGCUACAAGUCAAAUUUCACAUCGAGUUCAAGGUUUGCUGUUACACUUGUAGGCUUCCUCUCUUUAUGCUCUUUUUAUGUUAUUAUCCUGUAUACUGGCCCAAGCCCACACUGUCGAAGCUUAUUGAUAUUACUGACGUUGCUUGUUGCCACAACUAAUGCUUAAAAAUACAGCUCAAGCUCCUAAAGAUUAACUUUGGCCAAGUUCUCCCAAAGCUUGGUUUCAUGCUUCUCCAUCGGAAAAGUGCUUCUUGCUAAAGAGCAAUUACUGUAGUCAGUUGAAGUUAGCGGAUUCUUUAUUGUCUUAAAAACUAAAUAUGACAUAGAAGUUUGUCUAAUAUUUUUCACAGUGCCUGAUGCUUUAGUUGCUAAUGUGAUCUCAGACAAUUGGAAAUCUAGAACAAAAGACGCAAAAUUUAACAUGACCACACGCCCAAACAAAAGAAAAAGUUGUCCCCAGAAUCCUAGUUUCAUACUAUAUGAUUGACAUUACAGCGAAAAGUCUUGCUUAAGGGCAUUCCCUUUCUUGAAUCAAAGUGGCCUACUUGAUCAAACUGAGCUUCUUGCUAAAGAGCAAUUGUUGUACCUAUUAGAGAUAAUUAGGAUAAUUCUCUAGCAUAUUUUCCUAUAAUAGAGAAAAUUAGAAUAUUUCUGUUGGUUUUCUAGUAUCUCUCAAUAUUGUGCGAUAUCUCCUUUGAUUAUGUAUAUCUUGAUUGAUAUAGGCCAUAGAUAGGCUGAUGUACUCUUCAUUAAAUAUAUCGAAUUAUACGAAAUUCCUCAAAUUUGUCUUCCACAUCAUUACUCUCAACUUAGUAUUUAAAAUUAGAGGUCUUGAGUUCAAUUUUUUUUAGGCUCUAUUUGCCUUCUCAAAUAAAUUUCCAUCUUAAGACUAGACAAAAGACUAGACUAAAGUGAGGGACAAUAUUAGAAUAUUUAAGUAAUAAAGGUAAAGCAGGGUCAAGAACAACAAAUCUCUUUAUGAUGAACAUAUCCAUUUUGCAAGUUUGUUAUUACGAGUAGUUCCUACAAAGGAUCGGACUAAUGAAGUAUACAAUACUUGAAUUCUCGAUGUAAAUGCUACAUAGUUUGUUCUCAUCCUUCAGAGACUAUGAGUGUUAUAGGAGCAUCCGUCGACAAAAGGAUCACCCUAAGAUGAUCAUCUCACGGCUAUUGAGAACGAAUCAAAUCAGAUGAUUCUAUUUCUCAAUCUUUUUGACUUGCUCUAUUUUCAUUUAAUAGCUUAAGUUUUUAAAACAGUUGAUAGUGAUCCCAUAUAAAUUUCACAUGAUAUCAAAGCCGCCUUUCUUGAGGCAAUCCUUCGCACACAGUGCACAAUUAGAAAUCUCCCAAUUCUAUUUUUUUCUUGCUUUAUCAUUCUCCAUGAUGCAUCCAUGCAUCCCAAGCAAAUAAAUCCAUCCCCGCCACUCGACACUACACACCCAAGUCCGUUUCUAGAGCUAAUAUUGUUUCUUGUCAUUUCUUUUCCAAUAAGUCCUAUUAUCCUUUACUCAAUUUGUAUUCAACAAUGUUCAUCACGUUUGAUAGCCGAUGUCAUCUACAAAGCCCCGUUAUCUGAGGAAGCCAAGUUACUAUUUUAUCAGCAAAGCUAGUCGUGUCAAUUGCUUACUAUUUCCAUCCGAUUCUCAGCUUGGUCAUUACGAUGCUAGUUGCACAAAUCGUGUCAUUUAGUAACUAUUUUGAAAGCAAUGCUAGCUGCAUCAACCGUUUGCAAUUACAAUGCCAACCACAUUGGCCGCAUUGUUUAGUUACUAUUUUAGGUAGUAAAGCUAGUUGUAUUGAUCACUUGCUAUUUUACCACUGCUCAUAUCGGAGAACCAACUUCACCACCGGACUUGUAACACUCAAAACGAGCCUGAUCUUUAAAUAUAUAGUGGAAUUGUUUUUCAGAUUUUUAUCUAAACUCAAGAGUUGAGUUUGAGGGAGAAUGAUAUAGAUAACUAGGAUAAUGCUCUAAGAUACAUUCCAAUAAUAGAGAAAAUUAGAAUAUUCCUAUUGGUUUUUUGUAUCUCUCAAGAUUGUGUGAUAUGUCCUUUGAUUAUAUAUAUACAUAUAUAUCUUGAUUAAUAUAUGUUAUAUUUGAUUAUCUCUCAAAAAGCCUAUAAAUAGGCUAAUGUACUUUUCAUUAAAUAUAUCGAAUUAUACAUAAACUCUUCAAAUUUGUUUUCUUUAAUUCUCAACUGUACCAACACAAAAAUUGCCAAGUAUUUGCCCCAUAACUUUGGAAUGACACAAACAAGCGAGGGUUGUCUGCCCCCCAACUUAAUGUAAUUUGCUAAUUCACAAAUUUAUGUUCAUACAUUUCCAAGCAAGAUUGAACUUGAUUAAGGAAAAAAAAGAAAAGAAACACAAAGACUCUGCUUUAACAACAGUACAUGUAAAUAGGAUCACGCCAGUGUUCAUUAUUCACUCCAUGUCCAAGACACGAGCUGGCUAUAGUUUGCAUCUCUGAGCUGAACUUUCGAACGUGUUGGAGGCAUCCUCUUUUUAUCUGCCUUCAAGAGAGGUAAGAGUGACGUGGUUGGCAGAAUAUUUCUUCUGGCUUUAUCUGGAGGGACCUGUGUCGGUGGUUAUUUGCCUCUCGAUGAAUGCAGGUUUGUUUGGACUUGGAAGACCAACAAUUUCAUUGUUAAUCACUGAAAUAGCAGUUGAAAUGGCAGGCAUGUCUUUUGCGAGUUCUCGUGUACAAAGCAGCCCCCCGUUUAUGCACCUUGUGAUCUCAACCUCAAAGCAUCCAACAGAAAUUUUAGGUUCCACUAGUGCAAGUACAUUGUCUUCCUCCGAAUAUUUCUAUGCCUGCCAAAACACAAUUCAAGGCCAAUUAUUUUUGGAAUUUGAGUAGAUGGAAAUAGGUUGAUCUCUUUGUUUGUAACAGCUUACCAUCCUAAUAGGCUCAAGGACUGAUCUUCCUCAUUGAAGCUAGUGUUUUGUCUUCCACUUGCAAUAUCCAACAAUACUACUCCAAAACUAAAGACAUCUGAUUUUUUUUAAGACCGCCCUUCCAUCGCAUAUUUUGGAGCCAUGUAACCACUCCAUUCCAUGAAAUACCUUCAUAUUUCUUAUGCUAGGUAAAAAGAUAAAAUCAGUGUGAGACUCAUAAUAUAAGAAAUACCGACUAGGUUCCCAUAACUCUUAGUGUAUCUGCUUGAUCUUCUUUUUCCCCAAAUAUCUUAGCCAUUUCAAAGCCAAAAUCCUUGGAUUGAGCUCUUCAUCCAACGGGCUAUUACUUGUCUUAAGAUCUCUAUGAAUUAUCCGUAGUUUGGAGUCAUGGUGAAGGUACAAUAGCCCUUGACAAAUUCCAUCAAUAAUGUUGAACCGUUUUCUCCCAUCCAGUUACUCUCAUUUGAGUGGAUUUGAAAUAGACAAGAGAAACGUGUUAGUUUUAUGAAUGGAGAUAUGAAUGGAGAAGAGUGAAAUGCACAGGAAGAGGUUCCUAUGUAAACCGAAAAUGUGAAGUACGUGCGAUAGGUACAGCCAGAUGCUGUUUAAACAGCUAAAAUUAAAAAUUACACUUCCCUAUAAAAUGACUUUCGACGAUAGAUCGAGGGAAUGUUGCAAGAAAUGGAAUAUUACCGAAAAGAAAUGUAUCUAGACCCUUGUUUGGCACGAACUCAUAGAUUAAUAGUUUCUCAUCUUGCUCGGCACAGCAUCCAAGGAGUCGAACUAGAUUUCGAUGUUGGACUUUGGAAAUCACGACCAUUUCAUUGAUAAAUUCCUGCUAGCUUUGUCCCGAGGCACUUGAUAGUCCUUUGACUGCUAUUUCUUUUCCAUUUAGCAAUCUCCCCUGUACAAAAAGACUUAAAUGAGCUGCUGAAAUUAAAGAAGAAGAAGAAAAAACGGAGCUGCUGCCUCUUCAUGACAAAGGAUUGCCCUAUAUACUGCCCCCAAACCACCUUCUCCGAGCUUGUUCGCGUCGCUAAAGUUGCUUGUUGCUGGGGCCAGCUCUUCUAAUUUAUGUAGCACAAGCUACUGGGGAUAAACUUUGCUCAAGCUCUUUCCAAGCAUAUUCUCAGUAGAAGCCUCUGAAAAUUGUUCUCCGUCUAUACCUCUUCUUUUUUUUUGACUUCUUCCAGGCAAAGAAAGUACCAAUACUGAAAUUAACUGUUGCCACAACAACUGCAGCCGCUAUAAUUGCUCUCAGAUCUCGUUUUCCUUCUGCAGAUCAAAAUACGGACAUACAAUGAUUUAAGAGAUUGAACAGACAUUAAAGAAAGUACUGUUUAGCUACCCUUCAUAGAUCACAACUCCACCUCGCCUAUCACAUAGAUCGAAAUUCCCUAACCAUCUAGCAGUAAGUCACAUUACCAGAUUAAUCAAGAAUUAAAUUUAGGAUUUACCAAAAAUAAGAAUUAAAUUUAGGAAUGAACUUACCAAGUUCUGAAUGGGCCAGUCGGACAAAAAGAGUUGUUCCUCCAUAGGAAAACUUCCAUAUGUCGAUUAGGUCUCACCUCCAGCACAUGCAACCAACUCCCGCAUCAUAAGCAUAUGUUGCACACGAGCAAUUACUGAGGCACUGCGCUCGGCACUUGUCUUCCAAAGAUGAUGACCAGAUUGCAUUAAUCGGCACUUUCACAUUCUCAAGCUUUAGAAAUCCAUCCAUUUUUCCCACUUUAUGCUACCAUUUUUUAUCCUGUCACAUUCAGCAAUGAUCUCUGGAUGCAUCCGCUGGACCAAUUCCCUCUGCUCCAUUCUUCGACUCUUUUGGGCUUAAAGCCUCUCAAGCAGCUGCAAAUUGGUGAUUUCUUGGUAUCACAGAAUCCAAACGGCCCGCACUUGCCAUAAACGUCACAAUCGGAAUCCAGGGUUGACCAAUCAAUUCGCCAAUUCUUAAAUUUUAAAUCCCAGUAAUGCUGCAACAAUAUCCCAUUUGACUUCACAAAAAAGUAGGACAAAUAAGACACCUCCACAAAAUUGUAAGUCAGAUAGACGAUUCCUUCUUCGUCAUCCACUAAGCUAAAUCCAUCAAGAUAGACAGAUGCCAUCUGGGGAAUUCCGAUGAAACCCUUACCAUUCCAUGGACCACUCCGCCAAUAAAGAGGAGUGCAUUCCAAAGGAAAACUUCAGGAAUAUUUAGUGGUUCAAGACUAACUGAGAAACUUCCAAUUGAUGGAUAAGAAGGGCUUUUCCAAGAUGUGAGUACCUGUUUCUUAUUUGUUCUUAUUGACACCUAAAUUUUACCAUUUUAUUUAAAAUUUAAUCACAUAAAAAUUAGGAAAUAGUCGCUAAAAAAAAGGAAGUAAAGAGUAAGCUAAAUAAUUUUCAUUAAAAUGCAUCUUGUAUAUUUUCAUUGAAAUCCAUUACGCGUAGGCAUUAGGAACAUUUACUUAACUAUCAGUAAUUAUUAAGAUUAAAAAAUUGAAAAAAAAGAGUAAAAAAAAAAAGAAGUUAAAAAAAAGAAAGAAAAGUAAAAAAAUUUCAUUAAAAGGUAUCGUGUUUUCAUUAUUGUAUUGCAUAUUGAUUUUUUUUAAAUUUUUCCAAAAAGAAUUUCAUCAAAAGAAAAAAAUUAAAAAAUAAAGAAAUUAAUUACAGAAAAAAAAAGAAAAAAAAAAGAAAGGAAAAUGGGAAAAUUGAGACUAGACCAGGAGCAGGUCAACCCGGCCUCUUUCUUUUCCAUUUUCUUUCUCUUUGACUGGGCCGGCCCACUUUUCUGACUGGGAGCCGACGUGUGGACAAUGCAUCGCCGUCCCAUCAAUGCCCUCGGCAAGCCUCUCUUUCCCUCUCUCCCAAAAGGUCACCUGCCAACAUUAAAUAUCACGAGGACAAAAUAACAUUCCAAGCCCCUCGUUUAAUAUUUUUGUAGAGUAAUACUAACAUAUUAAAAUAUAUUUAUUUCAUGUGAUUGUAUUAUUAUGUCUGUAAUUUCCAAUAAAACUAAUUAGAAAUGACUAUAUUGAAAUUUCUCAUUAAAGUUUAGAAUUAAAUUCAUAAAAUUAAAAAGUUUUAAAUUGAAUUCACAUUCAUAUUAUAAGUUUAGCACUAAUUAGACAAUUUACUCGAGGAAUGGACAAGUGGAUGAUAUCAAAUAAUCUUGAUGAUGGAAGAAUGGAGAGACUAUUGUAAUAAGCUCAUGCAUCAAUUUGUACGUAAAUGUCUUGAUGGCUUGGGAAAGUAAUGUUUUUACCAGAAUUUUUAAGAACAUCAAGGAUAUGUCUAGGAUUUCUUUUCAAUUUUCAGCAAAAAUAAUUAGGUGGACAGGUAAAACGCACAUCUAAGCUGUAUAAAUCUAAUGCAAUUUAUGUAAAACCUAGUGGACCUGCCUCAUCAAAUGGUGCACAAGGGCUCAUAAUGUGAUGCUCUAAGUCUCAUAUUUAGAGGGAGAGGAUAUUAUGAAGGACAACCGUCCCUUAAAUGGUCAUCACCUCGCAUUUCUUCUUCAACAACUUUUAGGCUGAAUUCCACAUUAUUUUUAUGUUCAAAGAGAACUUCUCAUCUUUCCUUCCUUGUGUCAUGUACGUGAUCUCCAACUCUUAUGCCUGAGAAGAAUGAUUCACUAUAUUCAACCUACCAUGUAUGAUGGCCAUGGAAUCAUAAAACUGGCGGAGAUCAUCUCGCACGCAUAAGUUAAUGUGGCGGUAUGCUCACAUAGAAGAAAAUCCCAUUGCAAUUAGGAAUUAGCUGUUGGAUUAGAGAGGUGUUCAUGUUGGCAUUAUAUAAGGUGAUAUAAAGAUUCAAUAAAAAAAAUGUCAAACUAAUUCACUGCUCUCAUUAUUUUGGUGGCCACAUUUUUAGAAAUCAUGUGGGAAUAGCAACUUCUCAAACAUUAGAAUUCAAUAACAUAAUUCUCAUUUCUCAUUGACCCAAUCGCUAGUGACAAUGCAUCCUUCAAUAGCCAAGCCUAGGCCAGCCCAUCAGGAUCCCUAGAUCAUUUAGCUUGCCAACCAAUGGUUUGUGCUUAGGCAUGGGCCUAGUUGGCUAGAAUUGGCAUGAUCCAAUGGCCACCCCUAACCAGUGGGUAUGAGAGGUUUGCUAGUGCUCUUUAUCCUUUGGUAUAGAGAGAAGCGAAGUAUGACAUAGACGACAUGUUGGGCUAUAUGUGGAUGCCAGAAUGCUCAAACGAAUGACAUAAUUGUUUGCAUUAGUUGACACCAUAAGGAAUUUUAACGGAAGGACUCCAUUAAGUAAAUUUUCAAAUAUUCAAAGAUCACAUCAAAAAAAAAAAAAAAUCAAAGUUCACAUUGAAUAUUGAGAAGAUGUUUAAGCACAUUUUGUGUCAUCAUCUCUUACUUAUUCAAGAGGUAGAAAUAUUAUUUUAAAGGCCUCCACAAUAGGAAAUCUUGUCUUCAUGACACAUCCAGGUCGUUACGUGAUUGGCAAGGACUUCCGAUGUUGAAAUUCAUUAAGACAACUCCAUUACGACAUACACUAGAUUCUAGGAAAAACUGUUCAUAAAGAAUGGAAAAAGCAUCCUUCGCCGCACAUGUAAAAUAUUUCUGGUCAAAAAGUCAAAAAGUCAACUGUUUUUUUGCUAUAAUAUGGCUUGUGGCAGGUAAUGGCAAGCGAUUAUAGUAUUCUUUCUAGAAGACAUGAAAUUUGUUGGUACGAUUGACUUGGAUCGACCUGCAGUUUGAAUGGAAAAAUCAUUUCUCGCAGCUCUUGAUCUUAUCUUCUACAUUUUUGCAUUUUAUAUUAGGUUUUUUUUCUGCUCAAUUAUUAUAUUGAAGCCAUAAGUUUUUUUUUUUUUUUUUUUUAUCCAGGAUCCGCCGGAGCCCCUUUCACUUACGCUAUUCGGGUUCACACGACCCGCCGGUGCUCGGUGGCACUAGCAAGCCUCGCCGCAAGCCGCUAUUUAAACGUCAGUACCUAGAGGGAGCUAGUUUAGGACCCCAAUACCAGAGUCCCCAUGAAAGACACUUUAGCAAUAAGAGGGUUUGGACUCUCGAUCUCGGCGAUGAGAAAGAAAACGCAUACCAACUACGAUGCCCGUGAUUAGGUUUGAAGCCAUAAGUUGAUAUAAUCAUGGAAACUUUUUUAUUAUUUACUCCUUUCCAAUUUUUCUCCCUUCAAUUUUCUUUAUGGUAGCGGUAAAAGUCACUCUUCGUUUCUCCUCUUUUCAAUUUUAUCCUCGUCAUUUUAGGUUACUAGAAUAAAUCCUUACCUCUUGAACUCAUAACAAAUCUAUGGCAAGGCUAAACUCCCUCCAAAAUAUAUAUUUUAAUUACCCUUUUGCCCGUUUUAGCUUUGUGGAUUUACGAAAUUCGCAUCAAGGCGGUAUUUUUGUUGAGAAAAAAGGCUUUUUAUUUUCUAUUCAAACAAAAAAACUUAUAGAUCUAUAAUAAAUAAAAGAACUUUUAUAAAGCCUGAUAAAUAUUUGUCCUGUUUAAAAGAUAAAAGACCAUAAAGGGAUGGAAGAAAAGCCCACAAACAAACUGGAAAAAAAAGAAAAGAAAAGUAGGGACCUAAUUGAAACUCGAUAAAAAGAAUAAUCAUUUUUAUAAAUGCUGCUAAAGAACCUCUGAUAGAUUUGAAAUAAAUUCCAAAUACCGAUUUCUUCUGUUAAAUGGGAUUGAAAGGGUGGAUCAAAUUUAAAAAAUCUUUGAAAGGUUGAGAUUUAUUUUGUCAUUUUGCCUUCUAUUUAUUAUGAACUGCUUCAAUAGUAGUAAUUGGAGUUCUGGCAAUGCAUUCCACUUCUCAUCUCUUAGAUGUUAGCAAUUCGCUGUCGCCAUGUUUAUUCUAAUGAAGCUCGCUGUUUCAGUUUCGUAAGGUACGUUGUUCAGUCGACAUAUAUGCUAAGACUUUACUACUGUUCUAUGCCUGAUUUACCAUGGAGAAUAGUUCUCAUUUCUCACACUGACUGAAACAUCAAGAGGUUGAAGUUACUUGUAUUGUCAAUAACCUAGCCUUAAGGGUUGUUGACAUCUAAAUUUUACGAUUUUACUUAAGACUUAAUAGUAUUAAAAGUUAGGAAUUAGUCACUAAAAAAAAGGAAAUCUAAAAAAAUUGUCACAAAAAAGAAAAAACAACGAAACAACAAAAGAAAACAAAAACAACAAAAUGCUUAGGGCUGGUCGGGUCAGGCCUGAUUAGGCCUUGGCCCGGCCCGGCCCGGCCCGGCCCGCCCCUCUUUCUUUUCUUCUCUCUCUCGCGCGAGGGCCCGGUCUAGCUGUUUUUCUACCCCUAGGCGUCCUUCGCACGCGACCUGUAGGAAAAGAGAAAAAUCCUACAAGGGAGAAGGAAAAGGUAGGGAACAGAAAGAGAGCGGGGAGGGAGAGAAAAAAUAGGAGAAAAAAGAGAAGGUACAGAGAGGGCGAGCCGGGGGAGAGAAGGAGAAAACAGAGAGCUCGACAGAGAGAGAGAGGGGAAAGGGAGGCGCAGAAGGGAAUAUAAGGAGGAGGGCAGGAUCCGAGGAGGGAGGAGGGGUCGUCGACGUUGCCCGACGCCGUCCGAGCUGCCUCCCACCGAGCUCGACGCUGUUCGAGCCGCUGCCGUCCGACUUCCUACACUCGACGCCACUGCUGCCUACGCCAGCAGCCGCAGCACCCGCAGCACCCGCCGCCGCUGCUCCCGUCGCCGAGCCAGCCAAGAUCAGGGGAGCGGGAGGAUGAACUCGGAGCCUUUCAGAUCUGAAGAUCCGAGACAGGGGGUCGGCCAAAGGCCCAGAUUUGAUCGUGCUUGAUCAGAUCUGGGAGUAGAUUGAGUUCCGCCGCAUCACCAGGCUAGCCGCCGCCACCGUUCAGUCAUCGACGACACCGCCAGGCCACACCUCUCCAGAAUCGCCGUUCCUCGCCGAGCCGCCGCUCUCCUGCCUGAUGCCGUUCACUCCGCGUCGCUGCUGCCCAGGAGCCGCGACGUUGCUGCAACCAUCGUCUUCGCCCUCGUUUGCCUCUCCACUCGGGCCACGAAGCCGCUGCAUCCCGUGCCGUCGAACGCCAGCCACCGCCUCUCGUUCCCCCGCGACGCCGCAGUAACCCGCUGGCUCGUUUGCAGUGCCUCCACCCUCAGCCCGUCCGUCUGCAACACCCCUGCCGAGCCGCUCCGCGUCGCCGCCGUCGGCCUCGCCAAGAAACCCUAGAAAUGGGUCGGGCACGGAUUGCAAAAUGGGUAGGGUUUUUUUUUAAACAAUUCGGGCCGGAUUCGAGCUGUUUUUGCUUGUGGGCUUAGGGACUUAUGGACUUGUGGGCUUAGGGAGGCUUCAUUUUUAAAAUAAAAGAGGUUGGACCAGAUUGGGCCUUCUGGUUGGGCCCAAUCCGAACCAAAGAAAGGCCCGAUCAAGGCUGGUCGGGCCUUGUCCUUAGGGCGGGCCGGUUUGGUCCGGCCCCAACUGAAUCGAUUCGUGCCAACCAGGUCGAACCGGGUUAGGUUGGAUCUAGGGGUGUGCAUGGUCCGGGCGGGCGGUUCUUGACCUAGAACCGGGAACCGCCCGCUUAGGACCGGUUCCGAAAAAAUUGGAACCGGGAUCCACCUGUUUGUUGCAUGGAUCCACCCGAGAACCGGACCGUCGGUCUAGUCCGAUUCCCGGGUGGAUUCAUGGAACCGAUUUUGACGCGAAACAAUUUUGGUUUUCAACAUAGAAUGAUUACGUGACAUCAAAGCAAGCCAAAGAAAGAAAAACCAAAUUUAAGUACGUGGAGAUGCGGACGGCGGGAGAAGUAAACAACGAAAUGGUGAUAGGAUUAGGAGCCAAAGAUGAAGGGAGUGAGAUGAGAUCUAGGAUUUCUUUUAGUAAUUUUCUUUUUAAUAUUAAAAAGGUUUCGGUCCGGGUGGGCGGGUGGGUGGAUCCGCCCAUGGAACCGGGAACCGGAUCGGUACCCACCGGUUCCCAUAAAUUGGAACCGGGAACCAGACCAGUUCCCUCAAGAACCGCCGGUUUCGGGCGGUUCCGGUCCGGUUCCGGGCGGUCCGGGCGGUUCCCGGGUAUUUUGCACACCCCUAGUUGGAUCGGAUUAGACCCGGUUCACCAAAAAACUAAUUAAUUUUUUUUCCAAUAAAAAAUGUAAAAAAUUAAUUAUUAUUUUAUUAAAAAUUUAAUUUUUUUAAUAAAAAAAUGUAGGGCUUGGUUAGAAAUUGUUAUGUAUUGUCUUUUUAGUGUAAUUUGUCAUUUAUUUGCUCACAUAUUGGUUAUAUUGCUUGUUUAGUUUGCAUAUUUAAUUACAUUGAAUUGCACGUGUUUAAUUUUGUUGCAAUUAAAAUCUUGAUAGCUAUGAUUGUUACUUUAAUGAUUGAUAGCUAUUAUUGUUAGUUUAAUGAUUGCGCACUUGCAUGAUCAUCUCACAUGUUAUUGGAUAAGUAUAAAAUCAAUCCAAAAUGCUUGCAAAAAAUCAUUUAGUUAAAAUGAACAAGAUUAGUACUGAAAGACCACUAAUUAGUCAAUUAGUGUAAUCAAGUUCUUGACCAUAGAUUGAAUUGAGGUACACUUAGUUUCUGACAUUAACCGAUCCCAAUAGGCUAGUGGCGACUUCAUUUAUGCAAAAUUUCUAAAAAAAUAUCCCAAUUGCGACUCCAUUUAUGCAAAAUUCCUAAAAAAAAAAUCCCAAUGUCACGCUUGGGAGAGCUCGCACCUAAUCAUAGGCUUUAAGCCUGUUCUUUAGCUAAUACCCCUAAAUCUAUUCUCUCCCCCGAGGGUAAGUCGCAACAAGGGUCUAUUGCUACAAAUGAAGAAGAUGAUCCUUGCUCUAUAUAUCUUAUGUAUGGUUCUGUGCAACGUCCAGUUCUCAGUUUCACCUAAUAAAAAAAGAAUCCAGUUCUUAGUUUCACCUAAUAAAGAAGAGAAAAGAAAAGAAAUUGUUCUGAGCUGGUCGAGAAAUCAUGAUGGACAGAGUAUAAUCGAUUACUUCAGCAUUGAAUUAUAGUUGCAAUUGCAAUAAUGUCUCUAGUUUCUAUGAACUUCAUCACAUUGCUAGAGUCGCUAUUUUGAAUUGUAUCGUGUCAGUGUCCAAGACUUUUUCUUCGGACACAUGAUAAAAUUUCUGCAAUAGAAAUUGAUUUUAUUUUAGAAAUUGAGAAGUUAAAAAUUUUAGUUUCUGAUUUAUUCUUCAAAUUUAUUUUUGGAAUAAAAAUCUAUUACAGAAAUAAAAAAAUCAAAUUGCGUUACCAAAUAGAUUUAUAUUCCGAAGAACAGAGAAAUAGAGAAAUGAAAAUUUUAUCAUGCGCGCCCAUAUAGACCAAUGAACUUCAUGUCUGGACCAAAAUUGGCAAAACCGUCUCCUCUCUCCCCAACAAUAAAUACAAAAGAAAUUUUUGAAAAUCAAAGUAUACUAAAUAAAAAAAAUUGAGCAAAAGGAAGGAUUGAGAAAACAUAUAUAUGAACAGAAAUCUCUGGAGUUUCAGAUGUACAAAUGUAUUAGAUGGGGGUAUGACAAUUAUCUUUAUCUGGCAUCAGGCAUUGUGACUGUAACUUGGUUCACAGUGCAUGUCCCGUCAUGCUUGCUUGAUGAUGAAUCCGUCUCUAUAGCCCUUCCUAAGCGAAAGCCGGGAAUUUUAGGGUGUGGCAUCGUUGGGUUUUCGCUGCUCAGCAUCAAAACCACGGACAACAUGACUGGCCUAUCAUUUGCACGCUCUUGGACACACAAAAGGCCGACUUGGAUGCAUCUCAGUACUUCAUUCAUCGAGUAUGCAUCCCCCACUGCUGAAUCCAGUAGCUCCAAGCCCUUACCUUCUUUCCAAAACUUCCAUGACUGCAAUUAACAAGACAACGUUCAGUUAUAUGUAGUUACGGGACAAAAAAAAGAAACGCUUCACUAGCAAUGUCAAUCAUAUGGCAUAUAUAUGAAGUUCUGUUUCAGAUAACUAUUCAUCUUUCGAUGGAUGAACAUCUGUCCAUACUUACAUGCUCAAGAAGGUUCCGUUCGUCGUUCGGAUAAUAGAAUCCCCUGUUCUUUUUACCACUUAUAAUCUCCAAGACCAACACGCCAAAGCUGAACACAUCAGACUUCUCUGAAAAUAGUCCAUCCAUGGCAUAUUCCGGGGCCAUGUACCCACUGCGGUUUUAAGCAAAAUGGAAUUAGUGCAAUUUCAGAAAUGUAAUCUUGGAAUGUGUUAAAUCAAUGUUCCAUGGUACUUACUAUGUGCCAACAACUCUCUUCGUAUUCGCCUCGACCUGAUCUCUGCCAAAAAUCCUAGCCAUGCCAAAGUCUGAGAUUUUGGGGUUCAACUCCCCGUCGAGCAAGAUGUUGCUUGCUUUGAGAUCCCUGUGUAUGAUUCUGAAUCUGGAGUCCUGAUGAAGAUAAAGAAGACCUCGAGCGAUCCCGCAAAUAAUGUUAAACCGCCGCUCCCAAUUUAACAUGGAGCUCUUGGUUUUACCUGUAGAGACUAGUCAGUGACCAUCCUGAAACCGAAACUUGAACAUUUUCGGUCCAUUUUGACAACAUGAAAAAUGAAGAAGAGUAAUUCCAGGAACGUACUAAAUAGAACCGAAUCCAGACUCUUAUGCUCCAUGUACUCGUAGAUUAGGAUCUUCUCGUCCAUCUCGACACAGCAGCCGAUAAGUCGCACGAGAUUUCGGUGUUGAAGCCGAGCAAUCAAUUGAACCUCGUUCUUGAAUUCUUCCACUCCCUGCCCGGAAUUCUUCGAGAGCCUUUUGACCGCCACUACUGGGCCUUCUUCAAUCCUACACUGAAACACAAAGAAACAAAUGAAGCUCUUGAGAUGCUUCCUACAUUGACAUUUAUCUAGCCACAUUUGUCUUUUGGAAAAGGAGCACUCACCUGGUAAACAGAGCCAAAGCCGCCUUGCCCAAGCUUGUUUUCGUCACUAAAGUUCUUGGUUGCCAAAGCAAUGGCGUUGAAAGCGAACAAUGGUAACUCUAGCACCUCCGGCUUGUUUUCCCCCGUAUAGUCUCUCUUACUCGAGCUCACUACUUCAUUUAACAGAAAAUCUUGGCCUUGGCUUCUCUCACGAGCUCCUGGUCACGCGAAGAAGCAGUCAUCAUCAUCAAAAUAGUAAUUCAUUUAAUACAAGUUAUUGGUAAGUAAGACACUAGAAUUACCUUGCUGUUCGGUGUUUCUUAUAUGUGAAUUCAGCGAAGUCUUCCUCUUCCACAUGAGGAAGGCAGUGAAUGCUAACAACAGAACGCUGCCACCAGCAGCAAUGCCGACUAUUGCUAAUGUUCCGAGUCCGUUGCUCGAACUAUUUUGAGUGACAAGUCCACCUAAAGCCACUAAUACAUCAAAAUAAAUUCGGAACAAUACAAAUUAGACCUUAUAUUUGAUAUAGAGCAUUUUAGAGAUCUCCUUCAACCGGAUAAACUGAAAAUCACAUACCACGCAGGAUCAAGUAAUCACGAUGAUUCAAUGAGCAACAUGGAGGAAAUCAAGACAACAGGGAAUGUAAGGGAGAGAUUGAAGGAACACAAGGACUCACCGAUGUCAGAAGCAGAUAGCUUGACGUAGAAAUCCUGCCCGCCCCCGACAUAAUGCCUAAUGUCCAACAGAUCGCCAAACCACAUCACGCAGCCUGCCUUGCCGUUGCUGAUGUUCGCGCUCGAGUAGCCGGUGCAGGAGCAAUUCUUGGCGCAGCCCUUCUGACAAUCGUCGACGCUCAUUUCCAUGUCCACGAUCGUGUUGCUGCUCUCUGGCAGCUUCAUCCCCUUGAAUAGCAAGAACCCGUCGCUCGAGCAGUUCAGGUCGGUCCUCCUCACGCACCCGGCCGACCCGUCUCUGAAGUUCCAUGCCUGCAGGUUCUUGGGGCUGAACCCCGGGGUGCAGUUGCAGACUGGGGAGGCGUUGGUGUCGCAGA
rnacentral:lncRNA from 1 species